AUUGAACGCUGGCGGCAGGCCUAACACAUGCAAUUCGAACGAGUGGCGGACGGGUGAGUAAUGUCUGGGAAACUGCCCGAUGGAGGGGGCUAACUACUGGAAACGGUAGCUAAUACCGCAUACCAUCGGAUGUGCCCAGAUGGGAUUAGCUAGUAGGUGGGGUAACGGCUCACCUAGGCGACGCUCCCUAGCUGGUCUUAGAGGAUGACCAGCCACACUGUAACUGAGACACGGUCCAGACGCCGACGGGAGGCAGCUGUGGUGAAUAUUGCACAAUGGGCGCAAGCCUGAUGCAGCCAUGCCGCGUGUAUGAAGAAGGCCUUCGGGUUGUAAAGUACUUUCAGCGAGGAGGCGUUAGUCGCAGAAGAAGCACCGGCUAACUCCGUGCCAGCCGCCGCGGUAAUUC
rnacentral:rRNA from 1 species